rnacentral:lncRNA from 1 species
GUAUUCCAUUUCUAAACAAAUUUAGAAUAGCGGACAUAGUAAAAUGCUAAUAUGCUAUUCUGAAUUUACAGUUUUUCCCUGCUUCUACUGACAUCUGUUCUUAUUUUGUGAUCGGACAGGUGACAUGGACCAGCUGAUGGAGGAGUGUCGCUCCUUGAAGGACGAGUGUCAGACUCUAAAGAACGACAACAAGCAGCUCUCUGAGAAACUGGAGAUGCUGGAGCAGCAGCGAGCCAGCUCAGCUGAUUCAUGCCUGGCACUGAAAGUAGAGCAGAAUGAUGGAGAAAAUGACUCAGAAAAAGAUGUAGAGAAGGAGGUGACCGCUGAGGGUUUCGUCAGCACGUUGGAAGUAGGAGGAGGGGAAUGGGUGGACGCUUAUACCCAAAAGAACAUCUCGUUUGAGGGCAAACCCGUCACCACGACAGGCAUGAGUGGAGGGUUUUCAGAGGUGUUCUCUCUCAGAGACCAGGUGAAACAGGCUGAGGAGAAAGCAUCACAGGUCCAGAGAGAGUGUGAGGGACUAAAAGGAGAGCUUAUGGAACUGCAGGGGCUGUAUGAGAGCAGCCAGAGGGAGAGGGAGGAGCUAGAGGCGGAGCUUCAGCGCUAUAGGGCGGAGCUUGAUCGGCUGGCUGGGAGGAAGGCUCAGGAGAGUGAGGGAGACUGGAACCUGGUGUUGGUUGUUGCGGUGGCAGCAGCAGCAGUUCUUCUCAUUCCCAGUUUCACCAGAGCUCUGGCCUGAGUGCUGGACAGGAAGUGACCUCAUCAUCCCACUCUGCCCAUGGUACACAAUUCUAUCACCCCGACCACACUUAUCCACCAAUGGGAACUGAAAACCAUCACUCACCUGGGACAUACGGGAACACUAUAACACAUCGCUUCCAAACUUGGCGCUUUUUGGUGUGCAUUGUGAUGCUGGUUGUUUGCCGUUUCAACUGCUUUGCUCUGCUUUUGUAGACAAUCAUUUCCGUUUCGACCAGCAGUGCUACAGACACUGACGCCAUGCUGUGGGUAUUUAAAUGGUCAGAAUGGAGGACGACUCCAAGAGCUUCUGAUUGGUCUGACCCCCCGCUUUCCAUUUCAUCAGUUGUUUUUUCUUUCCCAAAACUUUGCCUUAUCACUUUACAAUAGAACAUUUGCACAUUUUACCUCUGUAAACAGAUUCCUGAUCUCUUGGGGACCGAAGAGGACACCAUUCUUCAUCAACAAUGCUUUGGAUGCAGCGUAUUGCUUUGUGCUUCAUUGCUUUUCGAUUAGGUAGGAGCAUGCAGUACUUAUUUAAUCUUCCUGGAUCUUUCCAUUUUGAAUAAUUACGUACCGAAGUCUCAAUACUGUCAGAAUUGUUUGUGUUUAGGUUCAGUAACCGAGAACUUCUUUCACUUUAGACCAUGGCAUGUUCUCUUAGGUUUCUAACUCAAAAGCUCUGCAGUUAACUGCACAGUACUUCUCUAUAUGCUAGCAAAGGAGAUUACUCACGUGAUGCAUACUAUUUGUCAUUUUUACAUUCAUUUUGGUGAAAAAAAUCCAGAGUUUGAAGACUCCAGGUGGGUUAAGGUUAUUCCAGCAGGUAACCGGGCUUAUUUUAAAUUUACAGAUAUUUUUGUAUCUGAAUUGUUUAUUCCAAGAAAUUUGUAGAUUGAUUUUGUGUGUGUAGAUUGUUAAUUGAUGCUAAAGAGUGAUAGAUAUUUUUAUAUAAGCAUUGAAUAAUGUAUAAGCUAAAAGAGAAAUUAGUGUAAUGAACAAGCACAGAUCUACUGAAAAUUCCACGAUGCAUUGAUGAUUAUUUGCGGUUGUUUUUUUUUUGCAUGCUUGCAAUGACAAAACACAGACGACUUAUACUGUAUGUCUAUACAAUCUCUUCUCUGCAAGGAAGCUGACAGAGUUGGAACAUUUUUAAAGAAAGAACAAAAUGUCAUGAACUGGUGGUUUUCAUCUGGUGCCAGGACCCAAAAAUAAAUUGCAGGUCAUUUAUUUCAGGAAAAACAAUCCUAAAAUAAAGUUAAAAUACUGUAGCAAAAAGAAAAAGCUUAUAAAAAUGCACAUUAAGACCUGAAAUGCAUAUCUGUUGUAGUCAGUAAAUCUUCCUAAAUCAUAUAAUGCGUAUCAUUGGACCUAUGCAGUUCACGCUAAUAUACAUUUUUGACAUUAUUUUUAAAUACCAAUUUUUUUUUGUGUAUUUGGUUGCCACUUGAUGUCAAUGUAAAAACCAGUUGAGAACUACUGUCAUAAACCCUUACAGAAAACCAUAACAAAGAUGUUUCUUACAAUGCAAUUCAAAUCUGUAGCAUAAAUAAAUAGCAUGAAUUGAUUAUCUAGCUAAUAAUAGUGCUAGAAGCAGAAACUUCCAUACUGCCUUUCACCAAAAAAGUUAUAAUGGUAAGAAACUUGUCUUAAAUUAUGUAUAUUUCACUAAAGACGUUUAAAACUGAGAAAUAUGUACUUAUAUGUAGCUUUUUACAUCAGAGAUCACAAUUUUAAGUCUUUGUGUGGAUGGGGAUUAUUACAGACGUAUCUUCCUGUGUGAAGAUUAACAAUAGUGUUACUGAACUCAUAUCCAUGUAAUGAUUCUAGUAAAUGAAUGCGUUAAGCCUUGAGGUACUAUUGAACAGAAUCUAUGACUUUAUACUUACAGUAUCUAUUGCUAUAUAAUCGUUUCUGGUAUACACACAAGUUGUCUUCACCUGAUGUCUUUUGGUGUUAUUUUCAACAAACCGCACUAAGUAGACUUCUUAUCAAAGUGACUAAAUCAUAGUAGACAUAUGUGCUUGUAGACGGCUGACUAGCGCUGUGGCAGUGAUCUUUGUAGUGUGGUUUUAAGACCUGCCAUUAGUUGUUGUUGAGUGUUUGGGCAUAUCUGCAGUAUCCCAAAGUCGUUCCAGUGCAGUUUUCUGCUUUCCCGUUGAUAGACUCAGAACUCAGUGGUAGCACAACUGAAUGUUCAAUGUUUCAAUGGUCAGCUGAUAUUCUAUGAGACAGUGCAUGCUACACAGUGAUUUGUCUUUGAAAUAAACGUGCUAUUUGUUCUGCACAGCAUUGGAAGGUUUGUUACAUUGAUGAAAUGGAAUAUGAAAACUUUCACAUCGGAAGGAGCGAAUUUAUUUUACUCUUCCACUCAGCACUUGUAAAUGAUGUACAGAUUGUGUAUUUGCAUGUCUGUGGAAGUAGAUUUUGCAUGCUGAGUGAUAGAAACCAGUGGUAGAUUUUAGCUCCUGUGACAAUUUCGUACGAUUAGAGUUUGCAUGUUUUGUCAAAAAUCCAAAUUUACCAAGUUUUUAAACUUUUUGCUUUUGUUUUGUGUUGAAGAUGAAGAACAGUGUAAUUUAUGUCCCCUUUUAAUUUCGUUUUUUCUGUUCACUUUUGCUGUGGAUGACACCAUUAUGAUUUGAAAUUGUCCAGAAUAUGUCCAGAUAUGCAAUCAGAGUAAAUAUCAACUUUUGGAAAGCCCAGGCUUUCUCCAAAUGGACCUUAUUAUGAACUAUUACAUAAAAUGAUUCACUUUAUCAAUGAAUUUUGAAUGUCAUGUUGUCUUUAAUUUAAAGGAAUAGUUCCCCCAAAAAUGUAUUCACCAUCAGGGCUCAGGCCAUCCAAGAUGUAGAGGUUGUUUCUUCAGAUUUGGAGAAAUUUAACAUUUCAUCACUUGCUCACCAAUCGAUAAUCUGCAGUGAAUGGGUGCCGUCAGAAUUAGAGUCCAAACGGCUGAUAAAAACAUGACAAUAAUCCAAAAGUGCGACUGUAGUCGAUCAAUUAUGGUCUUGUGAAGUAAAAAGCUGUGUGUUCAUCAGCUGUUUGGACUCCAUCCAUUCACUGCAGAGGAUUCAAUGGUGAGCAAGUAAUGUAGUGCUAAAUUUCUCCAAAUCCUUUCAGAUGAAAAAACAAACAAACUCAUCCACAUCAUUUUUAGGUGAACUUUUCCUUUAAGUCCGUUCACCAGUUCGGUUCUCUCUUCUGUUCUGUUUAUCUUGUAAUUAAAGUCUUUUGGUUUUUGAGAGAAUUGCAAAUUGUACAGACUAACAAAUUCAUUAGAAAUGCAUUUGGCGCUUUACUGGAUGCCGGAGGGUGGUAGAUGUAUGGAGAUGUUGGUAUGUGGCGUUGUGGCGAUGCUGCUGUGUGUCUGUACUGUAUGUGGUUGUGUAAUUGUAACUGUUCUGUACACUGUCUUUGACAUGUUUACAUGUUGUCUUGCCUUAAAAGGCAUUUAUUAAAAAAAAAAGAAAUUUGAAGUAUUUUGGUAACCAUGUAUAUUUUAUAAAUGAACAACACCCAAUAAAGUAGUUUAUCCAGCGCAUCAUGAUUCAAUAUAUGUGCUC